rnacentral:rRNA from 1 species
CUGGCGGCGUGCUUAACACAUGCAAGUCGAACGGAAAGGCCCUGCUUUUGUGGGGUGCUCAAGUGGCGAACGGGUGAGUAACACGUGAGUAACCUGCCCUUGACUUUGGGAUAACUUCAGGAAACUGGGGCUAAUACCGGAUAGGAGCUCCUGCUGCAUGGUGGGGGUUGGAAAGUUUCGGCGGUUGGGGAUGGACUCGCGGCUUAUCAGCUUGUUGGUGGGGUAGUGGCUUACCAAGGCUUUGACGGGUAGCCGGCCUGAGAGGGUGACCGGCCACAUUGGGACUGAGAUACGGCCCAGACUCCUACGGGAGGCAGCAGUGGGGAAUAUUGCACAAUGGGCGGAAGCCUGAUGCAGCAACGCCGCGUGCGGGAUGACGGCCUUCGGGUUGUAAACCGCUUUCGCCUGUGACGAAGCGUGAGUGACGGUAAUGGGUAAAGAAGCACCGGCUAACUACGUGCCAGCAGCCGCGGUGAUACGUAGGGUGCGAGCGUUGUCCGGAUUUAUUGGGCGUAAAGGGCUCGUAGGUGGUUGAUCGCGUCGGAAGUGUAAUCUUGGGGCUUAACCCUGAGCGUGCUUUCGAUACGGGUUGACUUGAGGAAGGUAGGGGAGAAUGGAAUUCCUGGUGGAGCGGUGGAAUGCGCAGAUAUCAGGAGGAACACCAGUGGCGAAGGCGGUUCUCUGGGCCUUUCCUGACGCUGAGGAGCGAAAGCGUGGGGAGCGAACAGGCUUAGAUACCCUGGUAGUCCACGCUGUAAACGGUGGGUACUAGGUGUGGGGUCCAUUCCACGGGUUCCAUGCCGUAGCUAACGCUUUAAGUACCCCGCCUGGGGAGUACGGCCGCAAGGCUAAAACUCAAAGGAAUUGACGGGGCCCCGCACAAGCGGCGGAGCAUGCGGAUUAAUUCGAUGCAACGCGUAGAACCUUACCUGGGUUUGACAUGGAUCGGGAGUGCUCAGAGAUGGGUGUGCCUCUUUUGGGGUCGGUUCACAGGUGGUGCAUGGCUGUCGUCAGCCCGUGUCGUGAGAUGUUGGGUUAAGUCUCGCAACGAGCGCAACCCUUGUUCACUGUUGCCAGCACGUUAUGGUGGGGACUCAGUGGAGACCGCCGGGGUCAACUCGGAGGAAGGUGGGGAUGACGUCAAGUCAUCAUGCCCCUUAUGUCCAGGGCUUCACGCAUGCUACAAUGGCUGGUACAGAGAGUGGCGAGCCUGUGAGGGUGAGCGAAUCUCGGAAAGCCGGUCUCAGUUCGGAUUGGGGUCUGCAACUCGACCUCAUGAAGUCGGAGUCGCUAGUAAUCGCAGAUCAGCAACGCUGCGGUGAAUACGUUCCCGGGGCUUGUACACACCGCCCGUCAAGUCAUGAAAGUUGGUAACACCCGAAGCCGGUGGCCUAACCGUUGUGGGGGAGCCGUCGAAGGUGGGACUGGUGAUUAGG